rnacentral:siRNA from 1 species
GCUGGUUCCGAGUCUGAAGACA